GGGCCCGCACAAGCAGUGGAGUAUGUGGUUUAAUUCGAAGCAACGCGAAGAACCUUACCAGGUCUUGACAUCCACCGAAUCUGGAAGAGAUUCCGGAGUGCCCUUCGGGGAGCGGUGAGACAGGUGGUGCAUGGUUGUCGUCAGCUCGUGUCGUGAGAUGUUGGGUUAAGUCCCGCAACGAGCGCAACCCUCGUUAAUAGUUGCUACGGUAAGAGCACUCUAUUAAGACUGCCGUUGAUAAAACGGAGGAAGGUGGGG
rnacentral:rRNA from 1 species